CUCGUCAAAAUUUAGCUUGUGCCUCUUGAUGUAUCCGAACAGAAAAACGACUCUUGGUCAAUUUCUUGCUCGUUCGGAGAUAGUAAACCCGGAUUCCGGAAUGCUACAGAGUUGGUUUCAUUAUAGGCCGAAAUUUAAGUUGGUUUGUCGGACCAGGACUACCAACAAAUUGAGGGACACAGCUCAUUCCUUCAAUCACGACAGCUAUCGGAUACCGAAUUAGUGAAUCGGGCUUUGAAGCGAUGCCUUUAUCAGUGGCAGCCCUUCCAGCGGGACGAUAAUUUUAACCUGUUCCCGAGGACAUCGGGUACAAUCAAGAAGUCGCGACCCAACAGUAAUCGACCUUUGCAUUCCUGGUCCCGCCCUUCCGCAGUUCGUAAAUUUUAAACUAAUGCACAUCAACAUUCGGGGGACCAAUGCGAUACCAGACGAUCGUGAUGCAGAUUCCGCUUUUGAAGGAAG